CUGUUGAAAAUGCCGCCGUGUUGGUUGUGCAACGCAUUCAAACGUUAAGGUUGGACGCCAUUUUUAAAUAGUGCAUAACGGUACAAUCGAAUACGUAUUACGUACGCGUGUGGGCUUAUUUUACUCAUAAGUAAACAAUUUAUUCUAUUGAGCAGUUACUCAUAAAAUAUGAACGAUUGCAAAUUUUCAAUGCGUGACAACAACAACAACAAGUAGAGCGAAAGAGACAACAGCUAAAAACAAAAUAAAAUAUAUAAUAACACAAAAAUUGUUAAACAAACUGUCAAGCCAGUUACCGCCAGUAAAGUGCAUCAGCAUAUGUAACAACAACAAUAACACAAACAACAACAACCACAUCAGCA